rnacentral:ncRNA from 1 species
UGAUAGCUGUGAAGCGUGAGGUUGCUGCCCGGGAGUGAUCCCCUGCAGGUUUUUACGCGGAGCGAAUGUCAAGUUACAAUACUGACGACAA